UACGUAGGGGGCGAGCGUUGUCCGGAUUUAUUGGGCGUAAAGAGCGUGUAGGCGGCCAGGUAGGUCUGCUGUGAAAACUGAGGCUCAACCUCAGACGUCGACGGAAACCUGUCGUGCUAGAGUCCGGAAGAGGAGAGUGGAAUUCCUGGUGUAGCGGUGAAAUGCGCAGAUAUCAGGAAGAACACCGAUGGCGAAAGGCAGCUCUCUGGGACGGUACUGACGCUGAGACGCGAAAGCGUGGGGAGCGAAACAGGG
rnacentral:rRNA from 1 species